UACGUAGGGUGCGAGCGUUAAUCGGAAUUACUGGGCGUAAAGGGUGCGCAGGCGGCUUCGCAAGUCAGGCGUGAAAUCCCCGGGCUUAACCUGGGAAUGGCGCUUGAAACUACGGAGCUGGAGUAUGGCAGAGGGAGGUGGAAUUCCACGUGUAGCGGUGAAAUGCGUAGAGAUGUGGAGGAACACCGAUGGCGAAGGCAGCCUCCUGGGCCAAUACUGACGCUCAUGCACGAAAGCGUGGGGAGCAAACAGG
rnacentral:rRNA from 1 species